rfam:Aureobasidium subglaciale EXF-2481 unplaced genomic scaffold scaffold_6, whole genome shotgun sequence.
GGUUGCGUGGCCCAAUGGCAAGGCGCUUGACUACGAAUCAAGAGAUUGCAGGUUCGAUCCCUGCCGUGAUCA